CUUGCUCUGGUGGCGAGUGGCGAACGGGUGAGUAAUAUAUCGGAACGUACCCUGGAGUGGGGGAUAACGUAGCGAAAGUUACGCUAAUACCGCAUACGAUCUAAGGAUGAAAGUGGGGGAUCGCAAGACCUCAUGCUCGUGGAGCGGCCGAUAUCUGAUUAGCUAGUUGGUAGGGUAAAAGCCUACCAAGGCAUCGAUCAGUAGCUGGUCUGAGAGGACGACCAGCCACACUGGAACUGAGACACGGUCCAGACUCCUACGGGAGGCAGCAGUGGGGAAUUUUGGACAAUGGGCGAAAGCCUGAUCCAGCAAUGCCGCGUGAGUGAAGAAGGCCUUCGGGUUGUAAAGCUCUUUUGUCAGGGAAGAAACGGUGAAAGCUAAUAUCUUUUGCUAAUGACGGUACCUGAAGAAUAAGCACCGGCUAACUACGUGCCAGCAGCCGCGGUAAUACGGAGG
rnacentral:rRNA from 1 species